rnacentral:rRNA from 1 species
GAUGAACGCUGGCGGCGUGCCUAAUACAUGCAAGUCGAACGAACAGACGCUGAUCUUGCUCCUCUCACGUUAGCCGAGGGCGGGUGAGUCACACGUGGAUAACCUACCUGUAAUACUGGUAUAACUUCGGGAAACCGGCUCUAAUACCAGAUAAUCUAUUGCACCACAUGGUUCAUUAGUGAAAGACGGUUUUGCUGUCACUUAUAGCUGCAUCCCCGCCGUAUUAGCUGGUUGGUAAGUUCACGGCUUACCAAGGCAACGAUGCGUAGCCGACGGGAGGGGGUGAUAGGCCACACUGGAACUGAGACACGGUCCAGACUACUAAGGGAGGCAGCAGUAGGGAAUCUUACGCAAUGGGGGAAAGCAUGACGGAGCAACGGGGAGCGAGUGAUGAAGGUCCUCGGAGCGUAAAAACGUGUUAUUAGUGAAGAACAACUGUGGAAGGAAAUAAGGCGGUAUUGACGGUAAUUAAUCAGAAAGCACCGGCUAACUACGUG